rnacentral:rRNA from 1 species
GACGAACGCUGGCGGCGUGCUUUAUACAUGCAAGUCGAACGAUGAAGUUCCUUCGGGAAUGGAUUAGUGGCGAACGGGUGAGGAACACGUGAGAAACCUGCCUUUCACUCUGGGAUAACACCGGGAAACCGGUGCUAAUACCGGAUACUCCGUCUUGGCGGCAUCGCCGAGCCGGGAAAAAAUUUUGAUGAAAGAUGGUCUCGCGGCCUAUCAGCUAGUUGGUGAGGUAAAGGCUCACCAAGGCGACGACGGGUAGCCGGCCUGAGAGGGCGACCGGCCACACUGGGACUGAGACACGGCCCAGACUCCUACGGGAGGCAGCAGUAGGGAAUAUUGGGCAAUGGGCGCAAGCCUGACCCAGCGACGCCGCGUGAGGGAUGACGGCCUUCGGGUUGUAAACCUCUUUCAGUAGGGACGAAGCGCAAGUGACGGUACCUACAGAAGAAGGACCGGCCAACUACGUGCCAGCCGCCGCAGUAA